ensembl:piRNA 21ur-14683 ncRNA
UGUUCUGCCUAAAAAAAAUCA